GGGGCCGUGGUCCAGUUUGGCCUAAGAUUCCUGCCUGGGGCGCAGGAGGUCGCCGGUUCAAAUCCGGCCGGCCCCA
rnacentral:tRNA from 1 species